rnacentral:rRNA from 1 species
AUGCACGCUGGCGGCGUGCCUAAUACAUGCCAGUCGAGCGAACGGACGAGAAGCUUGCUUCUCUGAUGUUAGCGGCGGACGGGUGAGUAACACGUGGAUAACCUACCUAUAAGACUGGGAUAACUUCGGGAAACCGGAGCUAAUACCGGAUAAUAUUUUGAACCGCAUGGUUCAAAAGUGAAAGACGGUCUUGCUGUCACUUAUAGAUGGAUCCGCGCUGCAUUAGCUAGUUGGUAAGGUAACGGCUUACCAAGGCAACGAUGCAUAGCCGACCUGAGAGGGUGAUCGGCCACACUGGAACUGAGACACGGUCCAGACUCCUACGGGAGGCAGCAGUAGGGAAUCUUCCGCAAUGGGCGAAAGCCUGACGGAGCAACGCCGCGUGAGUGAUGAAGGUCUUCGGAUCGUAAAACUCUGUUAUUAGGGAAGAACAUAUGUGUAAGUAACUGUGCACAUCUUGACGGUACCUAAUCAGAAAGCCACGGCUAACUACGUA